rnacentral:rRNA from 1 species
AUUGAACGCUGGCGGCAUGCCUUACACAUGCAAGUCGAACGGCAGCGGACCUUCGUGUGCCGGCGAGUGGCGAACGGGUGAGUAAUGCAUCGGAACGUACCUUUCAGUGGGGGAUAACGCAGUGAAACUUACGCUAAUACCGCAUAUUCUGUGAGCAUGAAAGCAGGGGAUCGGAAGCCCGUGCGCUGAUUGAGCGGCCGACGUCAGAUUAGCAAGUCGGUGGGGUAAAGGUUCACCAAGGCGACGACGUGUGGCGGGUCGGAGAGGAUGAUGCGCCACACUGGGACUGAGACACGGCCCAGACUCCUACGGGAGGCAGCAGUGGGGAAUUUUGGACAAUGGGGGCAACCCUGAUCCAGCCAUGCCGCGUGAGUGAAGAAGGCCUUCGGGUUGUAAAGCUCUUUCGGCCGGGAAGAAAUCGCACAGGCUAAUACCUUGUGUGGAUGACGGUACCGGAAUAAGAAGCACCGGCUAACUACGUGCCAGCAGCCGCAGUAACAC